UAUCAUUUUAUCAGGUACCUACCAAGGACACCUCUCUGGUCUUAGGCACAGUUUCAUUUUUGUGCAUUUUGGAUAGAGUUAUUCAACUCAGAUGAUGAUAAAUGUAUUCACUUUGUCUCAGACUUGAUACCAGAGAUGCAAAGAAACAUAAUCUGUUUAGCCUUUUGUUGAAAAUUUUCUCAUUUUGUUCAGGAAAGGCAAUAUUAUUUACCACAGCAUGAUUGUGACAAAUCCAGGAAAAAUAUAAUUUAUUGUGACACCUUUUUCAAGUUCUGUAGAAGAUGGGAACAUCUACUUCAAUGGGGACUUUGGGUCAUCACUUCACAAUACCAAGUCAUUACUGAUAGGAAGAACUUUAUUACUGACUCAUUCCAGGGGAUUCUCAACAUCAUGGUGCAAUUUCUGCUUUUAAGCAUUUUUGUAAAGAGAGUCAUCCUUACAAAGUACUAAGAAGAUAUUUUUUCUUGCAAGAUUUAUUUUCAUUGCUCAGUAUCUAAGACGUCAUGUAAAUCACUAAAAAAUUAUCCAUAAUCAGGUUCUUUUACAUGGUUGCUCUGGUACUUUUUUUUCACAGAGCCAUGAGUGGUGGCAGUUAUCAUGUAUACAAUCCUGUAUAUUCUAUGGCCCACAUCCUCCACAAGAUUAUUC
rnacentral:lncRNA from 1 species